GGCUUCAUAGCUCAGGUUGUUAGAGCGUCGCACCGAUAUCGCAAGGUCACGGGUUCACACCCCGUUGAAGUCC
rnacentral:tRNA from 1 species